AGAGGGUGCAAGCGUUAAUCGGACUUACUGGGCGUAAAGGGUGCGUAGGUGGAUGAUUAAGUUGGUGGUGAAAGCCCUGGGCUUAACCUAGGAAUUGCCACCAAGACUGACUGUCUAGAGUAUGGUAGAGGGAAGUGGAAUUUCCGGUGUAGCGGUGAAAUGCGUAGAGAUCGGAAGGAACACCAGUGGCGAAGGCGGCUUCCUGGCCCAAUACUGACACUGAGGCACGAAAGCGUGGGUAGCAAACAGGAUUAGAUACCCUGGUAGUCCACGCCGUAAACGAUGAGUACUAGAUGUUGGAUAGGUUACUAUUCGGUAUCGCAGCUAACGCAAUAAGUACUCCGCCUGGGGGAUUACGGCCGCAAGGCUA
rnacentral:rRNA from 1 species